CCUACGGGAGGCAGCAGUGAGGAAUAUUGGUCAAUGGGCGGAAGCCUGAACCAGCCAAGUCGCGUGAGGGAAUAAGGCCCUACGGGUCGUAAACCUCUUUUGCCGGGGAGCAAGGGCGGGUACGUGUCCCGGCCCGGAGGGUACCCGGAGAACAAGCAUCCGCGAACUUCGGGCCAGCAGCCGCGGUAAUCCGGAGGAGGCGAGGGUUAUCCGGCUUUAUUGGGGUUAAAGGGUGCGUGGGCGGGCCUUUAAGGCAGCGGGAAAAGUUCGGGGCGUAACCCCGGUACGGCGUUUGAAACGGGGAGCCUUGAGUGGGCGAGAGGAAGGCGGAAUGCGUGGUGUAGCGGUGAAAUGCGUAGAUAUCACGAAGAACCCCGAUUGCGAAGGCAGCCUUCCGGAGCCCUACUGACGCUGAGGCGCGAAAGUGCGGGGAUCGAACAGGAUUAGAUACCCUUGUAGUC
rnacentral:rRNA from 1 species